rnacentral:rRNA from 1 species
CAGCCACGGGAAUACGGAGGGUGCAAGCGUUAAUCGGAAUUACUGGGCGUAAAGCGCACGCAGGCGGUUAUAUAAGACAGAUGUGAAAUCCCCGGGCUCAACCUGGGAACUGCAUUUGUGACUGUAUAGCUAGAGUACGGCAGAGGGGGAUGGAAUUCCGCGUGUAGCAGUGAAAUGCGUAGAUAUGCGGAGGAACACCGAUGGCGAAGGCAAUCCCCUGGGCCUGUACUGACGCUCAUGCACGAAAGCGUGGGGAGCAAACAGGAUUAGAUACCCGCGUAGUCCCUGUCUCUUAUACACA